rnacentral:rRNA from 1 species
CGCCGUAAACGGUGGAUGCUGGAUGUGGGGCCCGUUCCACGGGUUCCGUGUCGGAGCUAACGCGUUAAGCAUCCCGCCUGGGGAGUACGGCCGCAAGGNUAAAACUCAAAGAAANNGACGGGGGCCCGCACAAGCGGCGGAGCAUGCGGAUUAAUUCGAUGCAACGCGAAGAACCUUACCUGGGCUNGACAUGUUCCCGACGGUCGUAGAGAUACGGCUUCCCUUCGGGGCGGGUUCACAGGUGGUGCAUGGUGGUCGUCAGCUCGUGUCGUGAGAUGUUGGGUUAAGUCCCGCAACGAGCGCAACCCUCGCCCCGUGUUGCCAGCGGAUUAUGCCGGGAACUCACGGGGGACCGCCGGGGUUAACUCGGAGGAAGGUGGGGAUGACGUCAGAUCAUCAUGCCCCUUACGUCCAGGGCUUCACGCAUGCUACAAUGGCCGGUACAACGGGAUGCGACGCGGCGACGCGGAGCGGAUCCCUGAAAACCGGUCUCAGUUCGGAUCGCAGUCUGCAACUCGACUGCGUGAAGGCGGAGUCGGUAGUAAUCGCG